UGGGCUUGAACCGCACAGGACCAUCUUUGGAAACAGAGACUUCCCGCAAGGGACCUGUGUAGAGGUGCUGCAUGGCUGUCGUCAGCUCGUGCCGUGAGGUGUUGGGUUAAGUCCCGCAACGAGCGCAACCCUUACUCAUAGUUGCUACCUGCAAGGGAGAACUCUAUGAGGACUGCUCCGGAUAACGGAGAGGAAGGUGGGGAUGAGGUCAAGUCAGCAUGGCCUUUAUGUCCAGGGCUACACACGUGUUACAAUGCGCGCUACAGAGCGUUGCAAACCCGCGAGGGGGAGCUAAUCGCACAAAAGCGCGCUCAGUUCGGAUUGCAGUCUGCAACUCGACUGCAUGAAGCCGGAAUCGCUAGUAAUGGCGCAUCAGAACGGCGCCGUGAAUACGUUCCCGGGCCUUGUACACACCGAAGGGCG
rnacentral:rRNA from 1 species